AACGCACAUUGCGCCCGCCAGCAUUCUGGCGGGCAUGCCUGUCCGAGCGUCAUUUCAACCCUCAGAGCCCACCUGCUUGCAGGUGCGGCGCUGGUGUUGGGGAUCGGCCCGCCUCCGCGCGGCGCCGUCCCCCAAAUACAGUGGCGGUCUCGCUGCAGCCUCCCCUGCGUAGUAGCAACACUCGCAUGCGGAGCGCGGCGCGGCCACGCCGUAAAACCCCCGACUUUCUGAACGUUGACCUCGGAUCAGGUAGGAAUACCCGCUGAACUUAA
rnacentral:misc_RNA from 1 species